GCAAGUCGAGCGCUACCUUCGGGUGAGCGGCGGACGGGUUAGUAACGCGUGGGAAUAUACCCUCCUCUACGGAAUAGCCUCGGGAAACUGAGAGUAAUACCGUAUACGCCCUUUGGGGGAAAGAUUUAUCGGAGAAGGAUUAGCCCGCGUUAGAUUAGGUAGUUGGUGGGGUAAUGGCCUACCAAGCCUACGAUCUAUAGCUGGUUUGAGAGGAUGAUC
rnacentral:rRNA from 1 species